GAUGAAGAACGUAGCGAAAUGCGAUAAGUAAUGUGAAUUGCAGAAUUCAGUGAAUCAUCGAGUCUUUGAACGCACAUUGCGCCCCCUGGUAUUCCGGGGGGCAUGCCUGUCCGAGCGUCAUUGCUGCCCUCAAGCACGGCUUGUGUGUUGGGCCCCGCCCCCCGGCUCCCGGGGGGCGGGCCCGAAAGGCAGCGGCGGCACCGCGUCCGGUCCUCGAGCGUAUGGGGCUUCGUCACCCGCUCCGUAGGCCCGGCCGGCGCCCGCCGGCGACCCCCCUCAAUCUUUUCAGGUUGACCUCGGAUCAGGUAGGGAUACCCGCUGAACUUAAGCAUAUCAAAAGCGGAGGA
rnacentral:misc_RNA from 1 species